AAUGUUUUUCCAUGAAUUCAGGCCUUUUCGAAAAAUGUAAUCGGCUGUGACUUGAUUUGAACAAAAAUAGCUUCAUUCCACGAAGUAUCUAUGCCACAACCCACGUUAGUUGCUCCGCCUCUACUGAACAUUCUCUAUUUAAGCAUAGUGUGAGUAAUAAAUAUAUUUCGGAUUUGAGACCUUUGUCGUUAACCAACUGCAAAACGGAAGAAAAUACUUAUAAAUCCGGCGUCGUCAUGCCAUGUUACGUUUAUUACUGGAAACCUGAUGAGUCCAAAAACUCCUUCGGCCACAUUUCAAUGGAAACAGCUAAUCGAGUUUACAUUAGUUUCUGGCCAAAAGAUGAAAUGAAACAUGCUAUUGCGGCUGCAGUAGGCUGUGAAGGUGUGUGGCGAAAGUCCCUAGAUGAGGAAUGUAAACAAUAUAAACAAAUGGAUGAAACUUUAUCUAUUCUCGAUUUGGAUAGUGCAGCAAUCGAGAGUUGGUUUCGCGACUAUAAAAGCAAAAACAAGAGUUGGUCGUUGCUUGUUCACAGUUGCAGUAAUGUGGUCUAUGACGCUCUAUGUGCUGGUUCGGAUGCCUUUAAACAAUAUUCGAAACUAGGCCCAACGACCCCAACGGCUGUUUAUGAAGCUGCACUGGCGUAUAAUGACUCAAAAAAGGCCGGAAUAGUUAUGGGGAAGUGUAAAAUAAGAUAAAUAAUUUACUUUCACCACAACAAGCUUGCGUUUUUCUUACUGAAAUAUGACGUUGACGCAAAAUAUAAGAAUCUUUAAUAGUGCGAUUCGCAAUUACACCUUUUGGAAAUCCGUACAAAUCGUAUUCACUUGUGGCAACAUUUUUGUUAUUGAAACCUUUGAAAAGUAUAAAAUGAGAAAUAUAUUCAUGCAAUAAUCAUUUGCAUCAUGCUUCGAAAAUAAUAUUUAAUGAUCAGUAGUAGAAGUAUUAUUUCAGCUUUUUAUCAAGCAAGGUUUUGCGCUUUCGCGCUAGAUUAAAUUAAAAUUGUUUGAAUACCAUUUAAUAUGGAUCUUCCAAUACAGUAUUGAUCUUGUGAGAUUAUGGAAGGAUUUUCGUAUUGGAAUUAGCUACUGAUUACAAUUCAUUGUUUGCCAACUUAAUAUACAUGGUGUCAGGCAGUUUAGUAUUGACAUAUGUAUUUAUUAUCAAUAUUUGAUAUUGUACUUUGUAUGAAACUAUGCAUAUAAAUUUUAUAUCUUUAUAUAUAGUUUUGAUGAAUUAUUCGCACAUUGUUUGAAAUAAAGAUUCAUUAAACUA